rnacentral:rRNA from 1 species
AGACCCGAAACCCGGUGAUCUAGCCAUGGGCAGGUUGAAGGUUGGGUAACACUAACUGGAGGACCGAACCGACUAAUGUUGAAAAAUUAGCGGAUGACCUGUGGCUGGGGGUGAAAGGCCAAUCAAACCGGGAGAUAGCUGGUUCUCCCCGAAAGCUAUUUAGGUAGCGCCUCGUGAAUUCAUCUCCGGGGGUAGAGCACUGUUUCGGCUAGGGGGCCAUCCCGGCUUACCAACCCGAUGCAAACUGCGAAUACCGGAGAAUGUUAUCACGGGAGACACACGGCGGGUGCUAACGUCCGUCGUGAAGAGGGAAACAACCCAGACCGCCAGCUAAGGUCCCAAAGUCAUGGUUAAGUGGGAAACGAUGUGGGAAGGCCCAGACAGCCAGGAUGUUGGCUUAGAAGCAGCCAUCAUUUAAAGAAAGCGUAAUAGCUCACUGGUCGAGUCGGCCUGCGCGGAAGAUGUAACGGGGCUAAACCAUGCACCGAAGCUGCGGCAGCGAACGUAUCACUUAAAGCGAUUCAGCGGGUUACGAUUGACGGAGCGAAGCGACGUCAAAGCGUAUACAAAGUCGAGUCGGUUUAAGGAUACGUUCGUUGGGUAGGGGAGCGUUCUGUAAGCCUGCGAAGGUGGCCUGUGAGGGUUGCUGGAGGUAUCAGAAGUGCGAAUGCUGACAUAAGUAACGAUAAAGCGGGUGAAAAGCCCGCUCGCCGGAAGACCAAGG